AUUGAACGCUGGCGGCAGGCCUAACACAUGCAAGUCGAGCGAGCGGCGGACGGGUGAGCAAUGUAUGGGCACCUGCCUGAUCGAGGGGGCUAACUGGUGGAACCGGUGGAUAAUACCGCAUACUACCGUUUGAACCCAUGUGGGAUUAGCUAGUAGGUGGGGUAAAGGCUCACCUAGGCGACGAUCACUAGCUGGUCUGAGAGGAUGAUCAGCCACACUGGGACUGAGACACGGCCCAGACUCCUACGGGAGGCAGCAGUGGGGAAUAUUGCACAAUGGGCGCAAGCCUGAUGCAGCCAUGCCGCGUGUAUGAAGAAGGCCUUAGGGUUGUAAAGUACUUUCAGUGGGGAAGCGGUACCUGAAGAAGAAGCAACGGCUAACUCCGUGCCAGCAGCCGCGGUAAUUC
rnacentral:rRNA from 1 species